UGGAAGGCAGCGAGGAGCGGGCCGAGUACGCCAGCCGGGAGGGGGAAACGACCCUUCCUCGCUUGGGCUCUGGGGCUGGAGCAUGACCGUGAAACCGAAUAUCCCUGCAGUGCAGCCAAAGGUCCUGGGCUCCCUGGGAAUCGCAGGAAACAGCUGGGGAGCGGCUGCCGGCUGCUCCACGCGCUGCUGUGGUUGUUUGCCAAAGUCUCCCUUUGCCCCCGAGCACCUUGCUCUGUCUUAGCCUCUUUCCGCUCCGCUGGCUGAGGGAAGCGUAUUGAGUCUCCGGCCUGCAUCUCCAUGGAGGGCAGGGGGCCCCCAACGUCAUUGGGCAGCCAUAAGGAAGGGACAGGUGGGGAAACUGAGGCAUGGUGAUGCGGCGAAACCAGGCCAAGGCUAUUCAAGCACUGGCACGGGACGUAGGCGCGGGAAGGCGUGAGAGAGCCAGGCAUGGAACCAGCCAGUUGCACCCCCCCAGAGACCUCUGCACCGAGGGGUUUAAGUUUGAACAAAGUAACACAGGGCAGGGAGGGGGGCAUGGGCACCACACGCAGCCCCUGAACAAGAGCAGGGCUGACUGGGCUCAAAGCAGCCCCCUGCAUGGAAAUCCCAGAGGAGAGAGGAGAGCUUGGUCAUCACCAUAGAGCUGCUGUCUGGUCUCCUCUCACUGUACAUGUGUGACGAAGUGGGGGAUUUUCUUGUUUUUUCCUUGUUUUCGGUGGGGUUUCAAUGGUUUGCAUGCGGAGGGGGUGGGACUCAGUUUCCCUGGGUAUUACUGGUUUAACGAGGUGAGGGGAGAGGGAGUGUGUUUUGCAGAGGACCGGAGAGGGAACUUGGGACCCCAGCCAAUGGCCUGGAGGAUGGACACCCCAGCGACCAGUGACCUGAGACCCCGACCCGGAGGCCCAGCUGAGGAGACGCAGCUGGUUCUGGCCAGUGGGUGGACAAUGGGCUGCAGAGUGAGGACCCAGUGACCUAACCAGCCGGUUCCAGCCAGAGGACAGAAGCGAGGAGAGGAGGCCCCGCUUUACGACCCUGUUUACCUGGAGAGAAGACAAUGGACAGAGGCAGGGCCUGGGGCUGGUGAUCUCAGAGGCCCAGGUGGGAGCAGGGGGGCUCUGGGCUGGAGAGGGGGAGCAGGCAGAGCCCACCUGGAUGCAGAGAGACUGGGAUGUGCUGGGCUGGGGAGGCCAGGCCUGAGAGUUUCCUGUGCUGUGUUCAACUCUCAAUAAAUCCUCCUGUUUUAUGCUG